UCUUCCGUGGCGCAAUUGGCUAGCGCGUCUGACUGUUAAGUUUCGUUAAAGGAGACUGGCUAUCAGGAGGUUGACAGUUCAAGCCUGUCCGGGAGAG